UGGGGGGGAUGAGGGUACCGGAAGAAUAAGCACCGGCUAACUACGUGCCAGCAGCCGCGGUAAUMCGUAGGGUGCAAGCGUUAAUCGGAAUUACUGGCCCGUAAACGUGCGCAGGCGGYCCSCUAAGACAGAUGUGAAACCCCCGGGCUUAACCUGGGAACUGCAUUUGUGACUGGCGGGCUAGAGUAUGGCAGAGGGGGGUAGAAUCCCMCGUGUAGCAGUGAAAUCCGUAGAGAUGUGGAGGAAUACCGAUGSCGAAGGCAGCCCCCUGGGCCAAUACUGACSCYWAUGCMCGAAACCGUGGGGAGCAAACAGGAUUAGAUACCCUGGUAGYCCACGCCCUAAACGAUGUCAACUAGUUGUCGGGUCUYNAUUGACUUGGUAACGUACUAACGCGUGAA
rnacentral:rRNA from 1 species